rnacentral:rRNA from 1 species
AGAGUUUGAUCAUGGCUCAGAUUGAACGCUGGCGGCAGGCCUAACACAUGCAAGUCGAACGGUAACAGGAAGCAGCUUGCUGCUUUGCUGACGAGUGGCGGACGGGUGAGUAAUGUCUGGGAAACUGCCUGAUGGAGGGGGAUAACUACUGGAAACGGUGGCUAAUACCGCAUAACGUCGCAAGACCAAAGAGGGGGACCUUCGGGCCUCUUGCCAUCAGAUGUGCCCAGAUGGGAUUAGCUUGUUGGUGAGGUAACGGCUCACCAAGGCGACGAUCCCUAGCUGGUCUGAGAGGAUGACCAGCCACACUGGAACUGAGACACGGUCCAGACUCCUACGGGAGGCAGCAGUGGGGAAUAUUGCACAAUGGGCGCAAGCCUGAUGCAGCCAUGCCGCGUGUAUGAAGAAGGCCUUCGGGUUGUAAAGUACUUUCAGCGGGGAGGAAGGUGUUGUGGUUAAUAACCGCAGCAAUUGACGUUACCCGCAGAAGAAGCACCGGCUAACUCCGUGCCAGCAGCCGCGGUAAUACGGAGGGUGCAAGCGUUAAUCGGAAUUACUGGGCGUAAAGCGCACGCAGGCGGUCUGUCAAGUCGGAUGUGAAAUCCCCGGGCUCAACCUGGGAACUGCAUUCGAAACUGGCAGGCUUGAGUCUUGUAGAGGGGGGUAGAAUUCCAGGUGUAGCGGUGAAAUGCGUAGAGAUCUGGAGGAAUACCGGUGGCGAAGGCGGCCCCCUGGACAAAGACUGACGCUCAGGUGCGAAAGCGUGGGGAGCAAACAGGAUUAGAUACCCUGGUAGUCCACGCCGUAAACGAUGUCUACUUGGAGGUUGUGCCCUUGAGGCGUGGCUUCCGGAGCUAACGCGUUAAGUAGACCGCCUGGGGAGUACGGCCGCAAGGUUAAAACUCAAAUGAAUUGACGGGGGCCCGCACAAGCGGUGGAGCAUGUGGUUUAAUUCGAUGCAACGCGAAGAACCUUACCUGGUCUUGACAUCCACGGAAGUUUUCAGAGAUGAGAAUGUGCCUUCGGGAACCGUGAGACAGGUGCUGCAUGGCUGUCGUCAGCUCGUGUUGUGAAAUGUUGGGUUAAGUCCCGCAACGAGCGCAACCCUUAUCCUUUGUUGCCAGCGAUUAGGUCGGGAACUCAAAGGAGACUGCCAGUGAUAAACUGGAGGAAGGUAGGGAUGACGUCAAGUCAUCAUGGCCCUUACGACCAGGGCUACACACGUGCUACAAUGGCGCAUACAAAGAGAAGCGACCUCGCGAGAGCAAGCGGACCUCAUAAAGUGCGUCGUAGUCCGGAUUGGAGUCUGCAACUCGACUCCAUGAAGUUGGAAUCGCUAGUAAUCGUGGAUCAGAAUGCCACGGUGAAUACGUUCCCGGGCCUUGUACACACCGCCCGUCACACCAUGGGAGUGGGUUGCAAAAGAAGUAGGUAGCUUAACCUUCGGGAGGGCGCUUACCACUUUGUGAUUCAUGACUGGGGUGAAGUCGUAACAAGGUAACCGUAGGGGAACCUGCGGUUGGAUCACCU